GACGAACGCUGGCGGCGUGCUUAACACAUGCAAGUCGAACGGAAAGGCCCUGCUUUUGUGGGGUGCUCGAGUAGCGAACGGGUGAGUAACACGUGAGCAACCUGCCCUUGACUUUGGGAUAACUUCAGGAAACUGGGGCUAAUACCGGAUAGGAGCUCCUGCUGCAUGGUGGGGGUUGGAAAGUUUCGGCGGUUGGGGAUGGACUCGCGGCUUAUCAGCUUGUUGGUGGGGUAGUGGCUUACCAAGGCUUUGACGGGUAGCCGGCCUGAGAGGGUGACCGGCCACAUUGGGACUGAGAUACGGCCCAGACUCCUACGGGAGGCAGCAGUGGGGAAUAUUGCACAAUGGGCGGAAGCCUGAUGCAGCAACGCCGCGUGCGGGAUGACGGCCUUCGGGUUGUAAACCGCUUUCGCCUGUGACGAAGCGUGAGUGACGGUAAUGGGUAAAGAAGCACCGGCUAACUACGUG
rnacentral:rRNA from 1 species